ACAUCGGUAGCACAGUGGUUAGUGCAGUCUGCCAGAAACAGAAAGAGACAGGUUCAAUUCCCGUCCGAUGUC
rnacentral:tRNA from 1 species